rnacentral:rRNA from 1 species
UACGAAGGGUGCAAGCGUUGUUCGGAAUCACUGGGCUUAAAGCGUGCGCAGGCGGAUCAGCAAGUCAGGAGUGAAAUCCCCGGGCUCAACCCGGGAACUGCUUUUGAAACUAUUGAUCUAGAAUCCCGGAGGGGCCAGUAGAAUUCCGAGUGUAGAGGUGAAAUUCGCAGAUAUUCGGAGGAAUACCAGUGGCGUAGGCGACUGGCUGGACGGGCAUUGACGCUCAGGCACGAAAGCGUGGGGAGCAAACAGG